GACGAACCGUGCAAACGUUGUUCGGAAUCACUGGGCUUAAAGGGCGCGUAGGCGGGCAAGCAAGUCGAAGGUGAAAUCCCACGGCUCAACCGUGGAAGUGCCCCCGAUACUGCUUGUCUUGAGGGAGAUAGGGGCGUGCGGAACUUCCGGUGGAGCGGUGAAAUGCGUAGAUAUCGGAAGGAACACCGGUGGCGAAAGCGGCGCGCUGGAUCUCUUCUGACGCUGAGGCGCGAAAGCGUGGGGAGCGAACCGG
rnacentral:rRNA from 1 species